GUUGUUCUUAAACCUUCGGAAAUACCCGACUAUGAAUAGGCCACACGUAAUGCUACCGUGUGGGGUAUAUAAGCCCCGUUGCCCUACGUAAAUCCCCACACCUGCUCUGAAAGUGCUACAGGUUUCCUGCCAACUCUACGAAAGCGACUUAAAUCUACGUUCAAUCCCCGGAGAGAAAAGAGGUCGAGGAAAAAUGUCUGACCCGAAGGCAAACAUGGACAACAAGUCCGACCAGUGUAACCCGAACAACACCCGCUACCAGGGCCACGAGAAGGGCUACAGCGGAACUGGGACCAAAGCUGACCUCGACAAACCACAGCAACCAGAAGAACCCUAAUAAUCAGCGGUACCAGGAGCCCAAGAAGAAGUGAGGGCGCGGUGGGAAGUUCUCACGGUGCCUCCACCGGUAGAAAAGGCUACAAUGUGUUAUCAUCAAUAAACUUCAAACGUUGCAUGCACCGAAUUACGCCUCACUUUUCAUUCUUUACAGCGUUAUCUGAAGCAAGGAUACUUGUAGAGGUUGAUCGUUAAAACAGCAUAGAUUGUUUUGAGAAAGAUUACACGAUUAAAUGCUAAUAUUAAGGGCACAGUGUAGGUUCCGGAAAAACAGCCAUGCAGCUUGCAUGUGAGAAUCUGGUUUAGCCCAUGCCUUCAUAAUAUAAUUACCCCCUCCCAGUCGUUUUCACAAUCAAGCAUGGCAAACCUAGAGAUUGUAAAACGUAAUUACGAAGGCCAUUCAGCCCUGACAGGGCAUGCUUUAUGGUAAAUUUCGACGUGAAUACCCGUAUAACAAUAAACAUUAAGUAGCACACAAAUAUUAUAUGACCUGAAUACUGAGACAAAGAACGGGAUACUAGUAUGCAUAUAUAGUAAUGUACGCUCCAGAAAAUCACAUAUUUCUACCCUAGAUUACAAGUGAAAGUCUCUUGCUUUCAGAAAACUUCAAAUUUUGUACUUUUAGGCGUGAAGUAGCUUAUGUUGUUGAAUAUUCCAACGUUCAGCUGAGUAACAUGAUCUUAGCACUUUGUAAUUAAUACAUCGGCGUGCAUAAUCGACCUUUUGAUCACGGUAUGUUACAUUUGCAUACAUAGUUUCGGUGAGGUGGUCUAGUUUCUAUGCGAAACUUUCUAACCAAUCAGCAACUAGCUUGUGAUGUUUUUCUGGAACCUUCGGAAUUACCCACAGUGGGAAAUACCCGACUAUGAAUAGGCCAUACGUAAUGGACGGAACAUUAUAAAACCCCGUCACCGUGCGUAAAUCCCCCAUUCUCAUCCUAAACUCCGACAACACGAGUUAAACCAGCGCCCAAGCCACGAAGAGAAAAGAGGUCGAAGAAAAAUGUCGGACCCGAAGGCUAACAUGGACAACAAGUCCGACCAGUGUAACCCGAACAACCCCAGCUACCAGGGGCACGAGAAGGGUUACACUGGAACCGGGACCAAGUCUGACCUGGACAACCACUCCAACCAGCUCAACCCGAACAACGAGCGUUUUCAGCCCAAGAAGAAGUGAAGGGCACCGCGGAAACGUCUUAACGACGCCACCUGCUGUUCCUACUCCGCACGGCUGGCCUUCAAUUACAGAACUCUGUUCACUCUUUACAACGUUAACGUCCGCUUGAGGCAAAGAUAGCAUGAUGUAGUGGUUGCUAAUGUAACGUUACAGCACCAUAGCUUGUUUUGAUAGAUGAUGCGUUGCAAAUGCUAGUAUUAAGGGCCCAAUGUAAAUUCCAGACAAACUGGUAUCAGUACACAUGUAUGUAGUGCAUGUAAACUAGUUAUGAUCUAACUACAGAAUUUUCCAAGUCUGUGUUUUACGCAUGGUUUAAUCCAUGCCUACUUGAGUAUCCAUGCCUACAUUCCAUAACGUGAUGUAUUGUGUAAUUGCCCCCCGCCCUCCUCCCUCUUUGUCACAAAAUUGUUUACAUACGACAUGGAUUAUAAACUGAAGUAUGUACUUGUUUGUAAUAUAUACCCCAGAAAAUCGUAUUUACACUCUACCUUACAAGAGAAAGUCAUCUGCUUGCAGAAAACUGCAUAUUUUGUACUUUUUGGUGUGGUUCGCUAAGGGCGUCGAACACAUUAAAGCUUGCUUCAGCAAUUAA